AUCAAAUAGCGGAUUGGACAAAUAUACCCCCUCAAUGUGAGUGUAUAUAAGAGGGUGAAUUGCACCAUUCAGAUAUUCAAAGCGAUCUCAGACGCAAAGCGGAGAGACAAUUAGUCAAACAGAAGAGGAAGAAUGUCUACAUGCAAGAUGAUACAGGCGAGUUUAUUGGUGACGUUAGCGAUUUUAGCAUUAGCGGCAGUGGGUAAUGCAGAAACAUUGGCAAGUAUCGACAAUCAAGUUGAAAAGGUUGUAAGAGAUAGGAUCCUCAUAGAUAUGCUGAAUCAAAUGCUUUCGAAAAGAAAUGAGAUCGAUGAUCGAAAUCACCAAACCAUGAAACGACAGAACACGGGAGCCCAUGACAAUAUAUUAACUACCAUAAAACUAAAAGAAUGGUGUAUUAAAAUGCAAUUAUCAGGGUGUUAAAGGAAUUCAUAAUUUUUCAGAUAACAUCUACCGAAAAGAGUGCCUGAUAUUCCGAUCUACCUUAUCCACCAGAGCAAUGAAACUAUACAACGACGGGAGUAAAAAUAUGGAAUUCCUUGAUGCAUUUACAUUAGCAAGAAACUCAACAGGACUCAUCGUUUUUCGUCAAAUCCAUAAUUUUGACCAUCAUAACGGGAAAUGAAGAACUAAACAUGUUCUACGACUUUGGAUUAUUAACAAUAAUGAACUAUGUGUUCCUACUUUGUUGCAAUUGUGAUUCAUGAGAAUACGUUAUAUCUAACCGAAGAUAAAUUUUAAGCUCUGUCUAUACUGUUAAUUUUUAUGCGGCAAAUACCUGUGAUUAUGCUCAUAUAUGGAUGUUAUAUUACAUCAGAUGCCCAAAUGUGCGAAUAACAUUGUCACAGAAUACUUCAUAGUGUGGUCAAAAAUUAAACAACUGAUUUCCCUUUUACAUAUAUUUAAAUACAUUAUUCAGAAAAAUGUUUAAAUGACGUAAAUAAGUUAUAUGCCAUAAGACAUGCUCCAACAUCUUAGUGUAAUUAUUUUAAUAUCAAGUUAGUGUUAUGACGUAUACUCAGUUACUUUGCAGGAACACAUAAUCUCCACACUCGACUUAAAUGUCCUAAGAUGGUUAUCGACGUACAACAUUUACCUUAAAGGUGUGCGGAAAUAUACGUCGCCUUUGAGUCUAGUGAUAUCAACCGUCCUUUACAGCAAUUAACUGAAGUAUGUUUACAUAAUAUUCCACUUCCAUAAAUUCCAGUUAAAUGUAAAAUAGAGGGAAAAUGAGGCAAUUUAUUUGUAGUUAAGGAUAUCGGAAACAAUUUCACAAUUUAUAUAUUAUAUUAUAUAUUUUUAAGUUUGGUAAAGGGUUUAUUUGUAUAAUAGUUAUGAAUUAUUUACUUAAUAGAUUUAGUCUGAAUUCUGUUGAUAAGAAACAAACAAAUGAGAAGAUCUAAGAAUAAAUAAAAAAUAGGUACAGUAAUGAAACAAA